UCAGCAAGUACCGUAAACAGAAGCAGUUCCCCCCUGGAAAUACUAAAAAUGGGCACAUGUCCAGGGGGGACUGCUUUUGUUUACGGUACUUGCUGA